ACGAUCCCACGGUGAGAUUCAACGUGGCAAUUUCCUACGAUAAAAUUUCUCCGCAGCUGCAGUGUACUGCAGAAUGAAGACGAUCAUCAUUUUCUAGGUCGUCUGGGCUUGACAGUUGUUUUCGGGCAUUCUCACCGCGCGAAAUAUAGUAACGAAACUGAUAUAACCGCGGAGAUAAACGAUUUCACGUAUAUAAAAUGCUUCCAAAACGAGGUUGAAACGGAUUUGAAGAUUUCCGAAUAAUUUAUGUAUGGAGCCUGGGAACAUGAAGAAAAAUGAGAGAAAAGUAUUGAACAUUUUAGUGCGGCUUGAAUCUUUAUGCAGACGAAAUAAAAUCUGAAAAAUGGAGCUGCGUCGAAACGUCGCCUUAAUUGUCGCGAGAUACGGAGGAAUCCCGCAGAAAUGGAUCCAAUAUGGCUGGCAGCGAGAAACGACGAGAGCUGGUAUCCCCGACAAGUCAAAUGCCAGACGGUUUCGUAGAUAAGAGCAGUCAGCAAUGCGUCAAUAGAGACGAGACGUUCCUUCGAGCCGUUUCUAAAGCAAUCUGCAUCGAUCCGACCGCUACCUUUAUGCGGUUUCUCGAGUGUGCCUGGUAAACGCUGCUCCGCGGAUAAGCGUUAAACCAAGAGUUACGAUUAUCUUAUUGGAACAGAACGAACUAAAGUCCGUGGAAACUUCACGAGGCUGUGUCUCGGAUAAACCUGAAAUCGACUCCUCACAGUUUUAGGCGAUUGCCUCGUUUUCCUACGUUUUCGAAACUCGAACGUACUCCAGCGAUUGUUGCAAUAUGUAAAUUCGAAGCUCAGGACAGAAUCGACGAGCAGGGAUCUAUAUGUAACUGGAAUACUAACUGUUGCAUUAUGUAGUCAAUUGGGAACGGAAUAAAA